rnacentral:rRNA from 1 species
UACGUAGGGUGCAAGCGUUGUCCGGAUUUAUUGGGCGUAAAGAGCUCGUAGGCGGUCUGUCGCGUCGAAUGUGAAAACCCGGGGCUCAACCCCGGGCCUGCAUUCGAUACGGGCAGACUAGAGUUCGGUAGGGGAGACUGGAAUUCCUGGUGUAGCGGUGAAAUGCGCAGAUAUCAGGAGGAACACCGGUGGCGAAGGCGGGUCUCUGGGCCGAUACUGACGCUGAGGAGCGAAAGCAUGGGGAGCGAACAGG